UUAGGUGAUUAUAGCGGCGGGGUUCCACCUCUUCCCAUUCCGAACAGAGAAGUUAAGCCCGCCAGCGCCGAUGGUACUGCCUUAUGGUGGGAGAGUAGGUCGUCGCCAUCUUUACCAAACCCGUUGUUCCUG
rnacentral:rRNA from 1 species